CCAAAACUUUUUCUCCAGUGGAGGCCGUUGACCUUCUGAAAUCCUAGGGUCUCUGGAUUCUUUUGCCCAAGCCGAU
ensembl:misc_RNA Gm27263 predicted gene, 27263